rnacentral:snoRNA from 1 species
AGGUCCAUAGUGAGGGCACUUUCUCAAUAGAUCUUUGUAUCUUUCCCAUGCAUCAUAAAGUGUUUCUAAAUCCAACUGUAUAAAAGAAGAGAUAUCAUUCCUUAAUUU